AGUGAACGCUGGCGGUAGGCCUAAUACAUGCAAGUCGAACGGCAGCACAGUAAGAGCUUGCUCUUACGGGUGGCGAGUGGCGGACGGGUGAGGAAUACAUCGGAAUCUACUUUUUCGUGGGGGAUAACGUAGGGAAACUUACGCUAAUACCGCAUACGACCUACGGGUGAAAGCAGGGGAUCUUCGGACCUUGCGCGAUUGAAUGAGCCGAUGUCGGAUUAGCUAGUUGGCGGGGUAAAGGCCCACCAAGGCGACGAUCCGUAGCUGGUCUGAGAGGAUGAUCAGCCUCACUGGAACUGAGACACGGUCCAGACUCCUACGGGAGGCAGCAGUGGGGAAUAUUGGACAAUGGGCGCAAGCCUGAUCCAGCCAUACCGCGUGGGUGAAGAAGGCCUUCGGGUUGUAAAGCCCUUUUGUUGGGAAAGAAAAGCAGCAGGUUAAUACCCCGCUGUUCUGACGGUACCCAAAGAAUAAGCACCGGCUAACUUCGUG
rnacentral:rRNA from 1 species